UGGUCACUAUGAUGUUGGCUCGACUCACUCAGACCACGCCUGCCGGCCGGCCGUAGCCAUGCAUCUGCAUGCGGUGGUGGCUCUGAUUGAGCCGUGCCAAUAUCUCAGUGCUCUUU
rfam:Triticum aestivum genome assembly, contig: Triticum_aestivum_CS42_TGACv1_scaffold_374177_5AL